GAGGAUAUAGCUCAAGUGGUAGAGUGCAUGCUUAGCAUGCACAAGGUGCUGGGUUCAAUCCCCAGUACCUCCU
rfam:Camelus ferus unplaced genomic scaffold scaffold224, whole genome shotgun sequence.